rnacentral:rRNA from 1 species
UACGUAGGUGGCGAGCGUUGUCCGGAUUUACUGGGCGUAAAGAGCGCGCAGGCGGUCGUACAAGUCGCGUGUGAAAGCCCCCGGCUCAACUGGGGAGGGUCACGCGAUACUGUUCGACUCGAAGGCAGGAGAGGGAAGUGGAAUUCCCGGUGUAGUGGUGAAAUGCGUAGAUAUCGGGAGGAACACCAGUGGCGAAGGCGGCAUCCUGGACUGGUACUGACGCUCAGGAGCGAAAGCGUGGGGAGCGAUCCGG